rnacentral:rRNA from 1 species
UACGUAGGGGGCAAGCGUUGUCCGGAUUUAUUGGGCGUAAAGAGCGUGUAGGCGGCCAUACAGGUCAGCUGUGAAAACUCGAGGCUCAACCUCGAGACGUCGGUUGAAACCGUAUGGCUAGAGUCCGGAAGAGGAGAGUGGAAUUCCCGGUGUAGCGGUGAAAUGCGUAGAUAUAGGAAGGAACACCAGUGGCGAAGGCGACCACCUGGACUGAUACUGACACUGAGGUGCGAAAGCGUGGGGAGCAAACAGG